UACAGAGGUCUCAAGCGUUGUUCGGAUUCAUUGGGCGUAAAGGGUGCGUAGGCGGUAGGGUAAGUCGGAUGUGAAAUCUCCGAGCUCAACUCGGAAAUGGCAUUGGAAACUACCUUACUAGAGGGUUGGAGGGGGGACUGGAAUACUUGGUGUAGCAGUGAAAUGCGUAGAUAUCAAGUGGAACACCAGUGGCGAAGGCGAGUCCCUGGACAACUCCUGACACUGAGGCACGAAAGCUAGGGGAGCAAACAGG
rnacentral:rRNA from 1 species